rnacentral:lncRNA from 1 species
GCCCAAUUUGAAUGUUUGAAAGCGGUAGUCGCCGGAGGGUGCAUUCGUUGAUCUCCUCUUCCUUCCUCAGCGCCCGAACACAGAACACCGCCUGGGAGCGUUUGUCCCACAUCGAAAGAUAUAAAAAAUGUGUGCGGGAAACCAAUUAUAAAAAGUGGGGGCAAAAUCUGCCCAAUUCAUCUUUGCGCUUGGGGCAAUGACGCAGCUAGUGAGGUUCUAACCGAGGCGCGUCUAUUGCUGGUUGAAAACUAUUUCCAAACCCCCUCUUCGGCCUGGGUUCGCCCCUGGCCGUUGAGAAUUUCUGGAAAGGGCUCCCUUUUGGGUCAGCCCUACAAUUCUAGUCUAAAAUUCUAGCAUAUUUGUUAUUGGGGCUGAUGAUUACAAGCCCAUUUAAAUUUUGGGUUAUUAUAAGGAAGGCGGAUGGGUGUCUAAGGACACUCGGUGCCCCCUACUGGAGGGGCACCUGGGUGCGGUGCCUAAUUCUUAAUUUUUUUAUUUUUUACUUUUUUUUUCAUUUUUCAUAUAGUGCUCAGUUUACAUUAACUGAAUUCAAAGAAGUGUACCAAUUUGG